rnacentral:rRNA from 1 species
AGUUGCAGGGUAUAGACCCGAAACCCGGUGAUCUAGCCAUGGGCAGGUUGAAGGUUGGGUAACACUAACUGGAGGACCGAACCGACUAAUGUUGAAAAAUUAGCGGAUGACCUGUGGCUGGGGGUGAAAGGCCAAUCAAACCGGGAGAUAGCUGGUUCUCCCCGAAAGCUAUUUAGGUAGCGCCUCGUGAAUUCAUCUCCGGGGGUAGAGCACUGUUUCGGCUAGGGGGCCAUCCCGGCUUACCAACCCGAUGCAAACUGCGAAUACCGGAGAAUGUUAUCACGGGAGACACACGGCGGGUGCUAACGUCCGUCGUGAAGAGGGAAACAACCCAGACCGCCAGCUAAGGUCCCAAAGUCAUGGUUAAGUGGGAAACGAUGUGGGAAGGCCCAGACAGCCAGGAUGUUGGCUUAGAAGCAGCCAUCAUUUAAAGAAAGCGUAAUAGCUCACUGGUCGAGUCGGCCUGCGCGGAAGAUGUAACGGGGCUAAACCAUGCACCGAAGCUGCGGCAGCGACACUGUGUGUUGUUGGGUAGGGGAGCGUUCUGUAAGCCUGCGAAGGUGGCCUGUGAGGGUUGCUGGAGGUAUCAGAAGUGCGAAUGCUGACAUAAGUAACGAUAAAGCGGGUGAAAAGCCCGCUCGCCGGAAGACCAAGGGUUCCUGUCCAACGUUAAUCGGGGCAGGGUGAGUCGACCCCUAAGGCGAGGCCGAAAGGCGUAGUCGAUGGGAAACGGGUUAAUAUUCCCGUACUUGGUGUUACUGCGAAGGGGGGACGGAGAAGGCUAUGUUGGCCGGGCGACGGUUGUCCCGGUUUAAGCGUGUAGGUGUGUGUUCCAGGUAAAUCCGGUUCACUUUAACACUGAGGCGUGA